rnacentral:rRNA from 1 species
UACAGAGGUGGCAAGCGUUGUUCGGAAUUACUGGGCGUAAAGGGCGCGUAGGCGGUCUUUUAAGUUCCGUGUGAAAUCCCUCGGCUCAACUGGGGAGGGUCACUCGAUACUGAUCGACUUGAAGGCAGGAGAGGGAAGCGGAAUUCCCGGUGUAGUGGUGAAAUGCGUAGAUAUCGGGAGGAACACCAGUGGCGAAGGCGGCUUCCUGGCCUGUUCUUGACGCUGAGGCGCGAAAGCUAGGGGAGCAAACGGG